rnacentral:rRNA from 1 species
GACGAACGCUGGCGGCGUGCUUAACACAUGCAAGUCGAGCGGUAAGGCCCUUUCGGGGGUACACGAGCGGAGAACGGGUGAGUAACACGUGGGUGACCUGCCCUCAGCUCUGGGAUAAGCCUGGGAAACCGGGUCUAAUACUGGAUAUGACUCCAUGACGCAUGUUGUGGGGUGGAAAGCCUUGUGCGGCUGAGGAUGGGGCCCGCGGCCUAUCAGCUUGUUGGGGGUGAUGG